UACGUAGGGUGCAAGCGUUAAUCGGAAUUACUGGGCGUAAAGCGUGCGCAGGCGGUUUUGUAAGUCUGUCGUGAAAUCCCCGGGGCUCAACCUGGGAAUUGCGAUGGAGACUGCAAGGCUAGAAUCUGGCAGAGGGGGGUAGAAUUCCACGUGUGAGCAGUGAAAUGCGUAGAGAUGUGGAGGAACACCGAUGGCGAAGGCAGCCCCCUGGGUCAAGAUUGACGCUCAUGCACGAAAGCGUGGGGAGCAAACAGG
rnacentral:rRNA from 1 species